GAUCAAGCCUUCUAAAAUAAACUUUUUUCAAUGUCAACCGAUUACCUGCUUAAGCCGAAUUUUCUUUCCGGAGAGGGAGCCUGAGAAACGGCUACCACAUCUAAGGAAGGCAGCAGGCGCAAAAUUACCCAAUCCCGACUCAGGGAGGUAG
rnacentral:rRNA from 1 species